rnacentral:lncRNA from 1 species
UAUAAUGCCAGACUUGAAAAGCAUCAUGACUUCUAAAGAUAGAAGCUGAAAUGUUUAUUUUAUUUGCCUAGGAAGAUAAUACUUCGUUUAAGGCUUUUGGAGAAACAUCCUUUUGGAAAAGAUGAUAUAGACCUUAUCGUUCCUUACCCAUUUUAGUUGUCUUCCAAGUCGAAAGAUCCUGCAUAAAACAUGAUUAAAGAAAGAAAAAUAGAUAAGUUUAGAAAUUUGAUCUGGUUUCUUAGCAGAUAUCAAGUUGAAGGAAAAAGAUGGAACAAUCAAACGUCUUCUAUGAUCAAUGUUUCAGUUACUUUAAUAGUUCCAAUAUAAGUGACAAUGCAACAUCUCCAUUUGAGAGCGCCACUUAAUGAGAAAUGUCUACUUUAUGUUGCUCUAGUAUCCACAAUUCAAGGUACAUCAAAAAGAACAUUAUGUUUGAUACUAUAAAUAGAUAGACAGAGAGAUACCCAAGAUUUUUGGGCAUUUCAACCUUAUUCGAAGAGGAUGGGAUAAUGGUUUGAACUUGAUUAACCGAAUGAGUAUAGGCAUGAGUGUGUUGAGGUUUAACUAAAGCCAAAUGAGCAUAUUACCCAUCAGUCAAAGACGCUUGGUUUUUAUUGCUUAUCUACUCAUGUCUAGACGACAGAAGGCAGUGUUUUGAUUAGCAACGCUUCUAUUUUCUCUGAUUUUACCAUGAGUUUUAUGAUCUGAAGGGUAUCCAUGUAUCCUAAAGCAUUUUUAUAUUGUGCGCCCAGGCAUCUGACAGUGCAUACAUGUUUUGAAACACCUCUCAUUAGAAUGUCUUGAUAUCUUGUAGAACAUGUACUUCACAUAUAUUUUUCAUGUGAUGUAAGUGUCACAAUCUCACUGGUAGAAGCAUCUACAGAAAUCUGCCUUAUUUUCUCUUUUUGCUGGAUGUUUAAGUAUACUUCAUUACAACUUGGAAAGGGCAUAAUCAGUAAAAUAUGAGCCUUAAGAUCCUUGUACGAAUCAUGAAAAAUCCAUAAGAACUUUCAUAACCUAAUCCCUUUCCAGAUUACUUGCAAUGUCUUCAACCCUUCACAAGUGUAGUUAGGAAUGGACUUAAAAUUCAUUAGUUCAUUGACAAGAGCUUUAAAUUUUGAGAAAUGUUUACUCACAAUGUCUUGGUUUUGUACCAAGGUUGCAAUUCCCUACUUCACUUCAUAAAUUUGAGGUGCAUUUUGCUGUCAAAAAUGCUGCUCAAGCUCCAUCCACAAUUGAUGAGAUAUCUUAGCAUAAUGAGUUCUUGGUUUUAUGUCAGUUGACAUCUUGUUCUACAAGAGAUGAUGACAAUGUAAUUGCAACAGAGCCAAUGUUCCAACAAUUGACUACUUGCAUUUUGCGGUUAAAAAUAGUUCCACCUAUGAAACCUAGUUUAUUUUUUAUGCGAAGGGUCGUCCCAUUGAUCUUACCCAGAAGUAAUAGUUGCUGAAAUCCAACAAUUGUGUUACCAAGAGAGCUCUAGAGCUAUCAUUACUUCCGAUGAAAAAUGGACUAUUUGGCUGUGACAGGUUAAUAGGUUUUGUAUUUGUGGCUUGAUUUUGAUUUGGUAGUUUCCUCAAUUGAGAUUGUGAUGAAUUUUAAAAGUCAUUCUAAAUUUAAGUGUCUUCAAUUGAGAUUUUAAUGGAUUUUUGAUGAGUGUGUUUUACUCACGAGUUUAAGCCAAAGUUAACUUGAUUGUAAGCUAGAUUUUACAAGUAUUAAAUGUUUUUAAUGUGUUUGUUAAUGUUGUUUUAUAGGUUUACCGAGAUGGUGAAUGAUAUGAAAAAGAUCAUCAAUUGAAAUUAAUGGCAUGGAUUGAAAAUAAGUUGUGGAUAAAAGGAAAAAGAAUAGGCAAAGCAAAAGUGUUGGCUAGAGAAUACAAUUGGAGAAUCAAAUGAGGAAUUCAAGGGAGAAAACAGUGAGAAAUUCAACGUGUAAAGCAUCAAUUGGAAGAGGAAAAAAUUAUUGGUGCAAGAUCUACUUUUUCUUCCACAUCUUACAAAAUUCGGGGAUGUAUUUUAAGACAAUUUAUUAUUUUUCUUCUUUCAUUAUGAAUAGCUAAAUCCAUUGCUAGGGCGAAUAAUGUAAACCAAUUGGGAUCAUUUAUAUUUUUUAUUAAGAUUCUUGGUUUUUAUUGUGCCAUGUGUUGAUUUUACUAUGAAUUGAAUGCAUUAAAUUACCUGAUCACUAAUUUGAUGAUUUCGUGAAUCAUUUACGAAUAGAUAUAUGAGUUUAGGAUUUAGACCAUAUUGUAAAAUUUGAUAAAUUAGUAUGAAGAGUAGAGAUACAUAUACUAAUUAUUGCGCUCAUAAUUGAAUUCCUAUGACGAUUAACUCGUUUAACUAAGUUAGAUUUACAUAGAAAUAUGAAAUUUAAUUAGUUAAAUAGGAUCAAUGAGAACACGAGAAGGGUAAAUUGAAUACAUUAGGAGAAUUUGAUCGAACACUACAUUUGGAAAGAGUCUUGAUUUAAAUGUAAAGGUAAUCAAUAGGUGGAAAUAUUCUACCCUAACUCCAUUCAUAAUUUUAUUUUCAAACCAAUCAUGUGUGCAUUCACUUAUUUUCUUGCAUUUAGAUUAAAACUCAAAUCCUACAAAUUUUUAAUUGUUUUCAUCAAGUAGUGGUAAUUGCCAGAGUAUAGUCCUCGUGGGAUCUACAAUUCUGACUCUUAAGUCUACUAUAUUACUUGUCACGGUCCGUACACAUGCAGAAAUAAAAUUGACAAUAAGUUUUUGGCACCAUUGCUGGGAACUAUUACUAUUAGUCUUAAUUUAUUUUAUUUUUAUCUGUUAUUUAAUUCGUUUAUUUUCUUUAUUUUUAGAAAAAAGGUGUUCGUUGUAUGCGUUGCGCCCAAGGCGAUAAUCUAGAACCUUUUGAUUUAGAAAUAGAACGUACCUUUAGACGAAAAUGUAGGGAACAUGAACAACAACAUUAACAUCGAAUGACUGACAAUCUAAACAACCAUAUUCCUAUACAACCAAUUGGACAAAUGGCCGUGAGAGAUCAAUAGCAAGAGUAAAGGGAAGUAAAUGAAUGAAACUUGCCAGUAUCUAUGUUUUUUACGCCUCUAACGGCACCUGUGCAAUCCAGUAUAGUAUAUCCAGAUUUUGGGGUAAACAACUUCAAGAUAAGAGCUUACUAGAUUAGUUUGAUUAGCAACACUCUGCAAUUCUACGGCCUAUCUCAUGAGAAUCCAAACACACAUAUCUUCAGAUUUCUCAAGAAUUAUCAGAAUUGUCAGGCUCCCGGGGUUAAUCAGGAUGCCAUCAAGUUGGGACUAUUUCCAUAUACACUGAGAGAUGCAGCAUUGGAAUGGUUGGAUGCCAAACCUGAUAGAAGUGUUAUCACAUAGGAGGAGCUAACCUGGAAAUUCUGUAAUAAGUUCUUUCCACCAGUUAAGGCAAAAAUCAAACUAAAAAUUCAAACCUUCCAACAGAGAGAUGGAGAGAGCUAUCACAAGGCAUGGAACAGAUUUAAGGAGUUGAUGAUGAAGUGUCCAAAUCAUGGAUCACUAUUAGAAAUCAAGUGCAGUAUUUCUACAUUGGAUUUUCACCACUGUCCAAAUGUCAAAUGGAUUCCUCUGCUAGCCGAUCAAUCACAAAGAAAUCGGUGCAAUAAUGUAUGGAUCUAUUUAAGUUGAUUGCUACUACUCACUCCAUGUUUUCAUCAAAAAGAGUGGUGCCUCCAAAAGCAACGAGAAUAUAUGAAUUAGACAGCAUAACGUCUACCAACGCUCAAAUAGCAGCAUUAACAAAACAGGUAGAGUUAUUGGUGAAGUCACAAACAAAAGGAACGCAUGCAAUGAUAGCCGGUCCAUCAUGCGAAAACUAUGGAGUUAAUCAUUUAACAAAAAACUGCACAUCUAUGGGCUUUCCACAUGAACAAGUCAAUUUCAUUCAGAAUGGCACUCAAAGUUUUAAUCUAUUUCCUCAAAUAUACAACCCAGGAUGGAGACAUAUGGUCAGAUAAUCAACAAGGAAACAGUUCAAACAAUGCCCAGCAUGAUAAAAAACAAGUUUGGGGGAGAUUUUCAACUAGUACAUAUAGAAGACAGACAACAUGUUCCAGCAGAUUGACACUAACUUUCAGAAUCAGCAAGCAUCUAUCAAGAAACUGAAAACACAAAUUGGCCAUAUAGCUUAACAGCUUGCAGAACGCCCGCAAGGGACAUUACCAGGCAACACAAUGGUCAAUCCAAAAGAGCAAGUGCAAGCUAUUACAACUAGAAGUGGAGUACAACUUCCAGAAAUACAUGUGAAGAAACCCAAAAGAAAAGGAAAAGAGAUAAUGGUCGAAGAAGCUAAUAAAGAACAAGAAUAUGUACUAACCAUCAAUGAGAAAGAAGAACGGAAAUAAACAUCCACAGUAAGAGCACUAAGCCUCGUGAAAGCUUAUGUGCCACCAGUUUCCUUUCCUCAGAGACUAUAGAAAAAGAAGUUGGACAAACAGUUUGCCAAGUUUGAGGUGAUUUUCAAGAAGCUGCACAUAAAUAUCCCGUUUGCAAAUACAAUAGCCUAAAUGCCUAGCUAUGCAAAAUUCUUGAAGGAGAUCCUGUCUAACAAAAGGAAGCUAGAAAAACAUGAAAAUGUCUUUCUGAACGAUGAGUGCAGUGUAAUUCUAUUUAAAAAGCUACCUCAUAAACUAAAAAAUCCAGGGAGUUUUACGAUACCUUGCAUAAUUGGUUCUAAUUAUUUUGAGCAUUCUUUAUGUGAUUUGGGUGCCGGUAUUAAUUUGAUGCCUCUCUCUGUUUAUAGGUCUCUUGGAUUGAGAGAAGUAAAACUUACGACAAUCUCAUUACAACUAACUGACAGAUCAAUCAAACGACUAAAAGGGAUUAUUGAAGAUGUACUGGUCAAGAUUGAGGAAUUCAUAUUUUCUGCUGACUUCAUCAUUUUGGACAUGGAGGAAGAUUCAAACAUCCCUCUAAUCUUGGGAAGACCCCUCUAAUCUUGGGAAGACCCUUUUUAGCUACCGAAAAAGUGUUAAUUGAUGUUUACGAUGGAAAUAUGAUUCUUCGGGUGGACAAUGAGCAAGUCGUAUUCAACGUGUUCAAAGCGAUGAAACACUCAUUGACUUCAGACACCAGUUGACAAGUAGAUGUUCUUGAAGAACUUGUGACAGAUACAUUUGAGACAAAGCAUCAAACAAUCAUUUGUGAGGCAAAAAUUGUACAAUCGGAGGCAACAAGUGUAGAAAGAACUGAAUGCGUGGUCAACUUAGUUGAACAACUAAUAGGAAUGAGAUAUUGGUAGUAUUAGUCUCUUGGUGACAACCCUUCACCCUGAAUACCUUCAGUAGAAAAGGUCCCCACCCUUGAAUUGAAGCCCUUGCCAUCCUAUCUCCGUUUUACAUACUUGGGAAACUCUGCAACACUUUCAGUAAUCGUCACGAAUGAGAUGACAAAGGAAGAAGAAACUAAGUUAUUGGCGGUACUCAGAAAGCACAAAAUUGCAAUUGGAUGGACAAUAGUCAACAUCAAAGGAAUCAACCCGACUCUUUGCAUGCACAAAAUAUUAAUGGAAGAAGGGUCAAAUCCAUUAAUGAAAGGGCAGUGCAGAUUAAAUCCCACCUUGAAAGAAGUCAUGCAAAAAGAAGUGCUAAAACUGCUGGAUUCAUGAAUAAUUUACCCCAUAUCAAAUAGCUCAUGGGUGAGUCCAAUACGUGUUGUGCCUAAAACGGGUGGAACCACAGUAAAAAAGAAUGAGAACGAGUUGAUACCAACACGGUUAGCGACAGGGUGGAGAGUGUGUAUAGAUUACAGGAAGCUAAAAAAUGCCACCAGAAAGGACCAUUUUCCAUUAUCUUUCAUUGAUAAGAUGUUGGAGAGAUUGGCAAGUUAUUCUCAUUACUAAUUUUUGGAUGGAUAUUCAGGGUAUAAUCAGAUAAUUAUUACUUCAAAAAACGAAGAGUCAACCUACACAUGUCCCUGUGGAACGUUUGCAUUUAGAAGGAUGCAUUUUGGUCUAUGCAAUGCACCUACAACCUUUCAACGGUGCAUGAUGGCCGUAUUUUCUAACAUGGUAGAAAAGUACAUUGAGAUUUUCAUGGAUGAUUUUUCUGUGUUUGGUGAUUCCUUCGAUGUCUGCUUGGAUCGACUGUCUCUCGUGUUGCAAAGGUGUGAAGAAGAGAACCUAGUGCUAAAUUGGAAAAAAUAUCAUUUCAUGGUAAAAAAAAAGAGAAUGGUAUUAGGACAUAGAAUUUCUACACAUGGUAUUGAGGUGGACAAAACCAAGAUACAAGUGAUUGAGAAAUUGCAGCUACCUAAUUUAGUAAAGGGCAUCAGAACAUGUAGGAUUUUACAGAAGAUUUAUUUAAGACUUUACAAAGAUUACAAAAUCAUUGCACAACCUACUGGAGAAGGAUGUGCCAUUUAAUUUUUCUGAUGAGUGUUUAAAAAGCUUUAACACUUUGAAGAAAAAAUUGACAUCAGUACCUGUAAUAGUAGUACCAGAUUGGGAACUCCAUUUUGAGCUCAUGUGUGACGCCAGUGAUUUUGCAAUGGUGGUAGUGCUAGGACAACGCAAAGGAAAAGUAUUACAUGUUGUCUACUAUGCUAGUAAAACAUUAACAGAUGCUCAGAUCAACCAUGUAACAACUGAAAAGGAGAUGCUCACAGUCGUUUUUACAUUUGAUAAAUUUCGUUCCUAUCUGAUUGGUUCCAAGGUGAUGGUCUAUACAGACCAUUCGACUUUGAAGUAUUUGUUUGAGAAGAAGGACGCGAAACCAAUGUUGAUUUGAUGGGUUCUAUUGCUACAAGAAUUUGACAUCAAGAUUUUUGAUAAAAAAAAAAAAAAAAGGAAUAGAAAAUCAAGUAGCAGAUUACUUAUCGAGGUUAGAGCAGUCAGAUGAUUCAAAUAAGGUGAACAUCAAUGAGAUAUUUCCUAACGAACAAUUAUUACAAGUGUGAUAAAGCACCAUGGUAUGCAAACAUUGUCAAUUACUUAGCUAGUGGUUACGUGGAUCCAAACCUUACGUACAAUCAAAAGAAGUAGCUCCUACAUGAAAACAAAUUCUAUUAUUGGGAUGACCCAAACUUAUACUGAAGAGGUCGGGCCAAAUUAUCAGAAGAUGUGUUCUAGAGGAUGGGAUGAAACCUAUCAUUUCAAGGGUUCAUGCUUCAACCUACAAAGGGCACUUUGGCCCCACUAAAAUCGCAGCAAAGGUGCUUUAGUCUAGGUUCUUUUGGCCAACACUAUUUAAGGACUGCCACAGUUUCUACAGAUCAUGUGAUAAGUGUCAAAGAACUGGUAGCAUAUCAGCUCGUCACGAGAUGCCCUUAAACAAUAUCCUAGAGGUGGAAAUAUUUUAUGUAUAGAGAGUUGAUUUUAUGGGACCUUUCCCUUCGUCCUAUAAUAAUCGAUAUAUCUUGGUCACAGUGGAUUACGUCUCCAAAUGGAUGGAAGCCAAGGUGUUAACCACCAAUGAUGCAAGGGUAGUAAUGGAUUUUAUAAAGAAACAUAUCUUCAACCGCUAUGGAUCUCCAAGAGCUAUAAUAACUGAUGGUGGAACUCAUUUCCGAAAUCAGCUAUUUUAGGCAAUACUUCAUACGUACGGGGUACAACAUCGAAUUGACACUCCUUACCACCCUUAGACAAGUAGACAACUGGAAACUUCUAACAACAAUUGAAUAGAAUUCUGGAGCUCACUGUGAAUGCAUCUCGGAAAGAUUGGUCAAAAAAAUUGGAUGAUGCUUUAUGGGCAUAUGGCACCGCGUACAAGAUACCUAUUGGAAUGUCCCUAUAUCAACUAGUUUUUGAAAAAGCAAGCCACCUACCAGUGGAGUUUAAGUACAAAGCGUACUAGGCAUUGAAGCAUUUGAACAUGGACCUAAACAGGCUGGAGAAACAAGAAUUCUACAAUUGCGUGAACUGGAAAAAUUCAGGAGAGAAGCUUACGAGAAUGCAUCUAUCUACAAAGAAAGGACAAAACAGUGGCAUGAUAAAAAUAUUCAGCAACGAAUUUUCAGAGUAGAAAAUCAAGUGUACUAUAUAACUCCAGGCUCAAACUCUUCCCAGGAAAGUUGAAAUCCAAGUGGUCAGGACCUUUCACGAUUGCUCAAGCAUUUUCUUAUGGCACAGUUGAAUUGCACUACCCAGCAAAGGAAAACUUCUAAGUUAAUGGCCAACAGAUCAAACACUAUAUAGAAGAGUUUUACACCGCUAAAGAUAGCCUUCAACUAGUUGUUCUAGAAUGACCGCGGCACAAAGUCCAGCUAAUAACUUUAAAGAAGUGCUUCUUGGGAGGCAAUCCAACCUCAUUCUUUUGUUUGCUUCUUAAUUUUUAUUUUAACUUUCGAUUCUUUUGAUAAUUUAGGCAAAGUAGUAAUAUUUUUAUUUGUUUAUUUUGUAGGAUUAUUCUCAAUGGAAAAUACAUUAUGUGUGGAUGGGAGAUGGAAACCAAGCUAUGAAGUGCAUGGAAAUGAUAAUAACAACGAAAGAGUGCCUCUGUGGAGAAUUAAGUGGUUGGGGGUGAUUACAUUGUUGCAGGAAAUGUGUUUGGGUCAUUGUAUUGGUGUGUGGACUAGCUUGCAGUUGUUGGUGACAUUCACUUUAUUUCUUUCGACUUCGCAUAGUACACAAUGCCACCGAAAAAGAAAUCAAAAGCCUCAACAUCUUCAUUAAGCACCUUUGACACCAGCAAAUUUGUGAGUCCGGAAGUGGAAUGCAGAUACCAUGACAUGAUAGUUCACAAAAACUGUAUUCCAGCAGGGAUUUGACGAUUUGGAACCUUAUAAGCAGGAACUCAUUGAGGGAAGAAAUUAGGAGUGGUUAAGGUAACAACAGCCACGACUGAUACCAGUGGGCGGGAAUUUUAUGCCAAUGCUAAGGAACACCAGGACUUGAAAAUAAAUGUAAGAGAAAAGUGGAUCCAUUUUGAUCGAACCAUAAUUAAUCGGUACUAUGGACUACCAGAUAACCACAAGGAUAACUUUUCCAGACUCCUUGACGAAGGGAUAUUUGAUCUGAUUGAUAUAAUUAGAGAGUUAGCCCACCCUGAUGUCAUGUAAAAAUGAUCAGGCUCUAAUGUCACCAACUUUCCAGCUGUGGGUAUGUUCUUAGAAUGCAAGGCUUAGCACUACUUCAUAUGUGGUAAACUUUUUCCCACCAGUAAUAUUAGUGCAGUGACCAAGGACCUAUUAAAUUAUGUUAUUCGGCAGGGCCUCAAUGUGGACGUGGGUAUAGUUAUUCAAACCAACUUCUUGUGAUCACUAAGAGGAUCUACAACUGUCGAUUUAGGUUAUCCAUCUUUGAUUUAUGCCCUAUAUAGGAGAGGAGGAAUUGCGGCUUCUCCAACUGAUGAGAUAGUUCACCCUAAACUCGCCAUGACCAAGAAGCUAAUUUGACAAUUCUUUACCAAGCAAUUCUUUGCCAAUGCUCAAGGACAGGGUACCACGGCCUAGCCAUCUCAACCUAGUGAUCCUUCGCCUGCUAGUUCCCAAACUGAUGACAUUACUGGGCAGAUUAAGGCUUUGCAGCUACAGCUGACCCAAAGAUACGAUGAAUUGGAAUCACGAAAUCAAGAAAGAUAUGAUGGACUUCAACAUCAUUUGGAUCAGUUGCAGUUUUCUAUGACCAAUCAAUAUCAGCAGCUAUAGAACUCCAUGUAUACUCAGUUUCAAUACCAGAAUGAGUUCUUUUCAGUGUUGGCUUUCGCUUACCCCAACAUGUAAUUCUCGCCACAACCAACAUAUCCACCUUAUCUAGCCAACCCGGAUCCAUCUCACCAGGGCGAUGGCGAUGACACCCACAGAUGAUUUCAUAGAAGUCUUACCCCAUCUUUUACAUUUAUUUUCACAUUAGGGACAAUAUAUAGUUUAAGUUUGGAGGGUCAUUCAUUUGGGUUACUUGCUAUCGUUUUGUUUUUGUUUAAGUAAUAUGACUGCGUGACUGUCAUUUAAUUUCGUGUGAAUGUGUCAUAAAAAAAAUGGUAUACAAGUGCACAAGAGAACUGAUCUUGAGGUCUUAGAUAACUAGUGGGUUUGAAUCACUUAGUAUAAACUCGAUUGUUAAAACAUUCAUAAUUAAGGAAAAUCAUUACACGAAUGAGUUAUUGACAUCACCGGUUGAGCUAAACCAAAUUAGAGUGGUGUGAGACAUUGGUAAGUAAGAUUAACCCUUAAAAUUAUACCAUGGUGAGAGAAUAUAAGAAAAUAAGUUUUGGGUGUGUGAAUCUCACAAGCGAAGAAAGGAAAUAAUUGACCAUUGAGGGUUGGGUAGUAAACCAACUUGUAAAGGUAUGGCGUUACACUUGAUUCUACACACCACGUACAACUGUUUUGCAAGGAAUAAGUGAAAAGUUAGCUCUUGUAUUGCGAUUUAGAAAUCGUUCAUGAAUGUGAUAUAAUGUUCUCAAUGCUGAACCAAAAAGCGAUCCAUCUGACUGAAUCGUUGUUUGUAUCUUUAGUUAGUCGUCCUCUUCUUGCGUUUGCUCGAGGACUAGUAAACGAUUAAGUUUGGGGAUAUUUGACGAGUGUGUUUUACUCACGAGUUUAAGCCAAUGUUAACUUGAUUGUAAGCUAGAUUUUACGAGUAUUGAACGUAAUGUGUUUGUUAAUGUUGUUUUAUAGGUUUAUCAAAAUGGUGAAGGAUACGAAAAAGUUCAUCAAUUGAAGUAAAUGGCAUGGAUUGAAAAGAAGUUGUGGAUAAAGAGGCAAAAAAGGCAAAGCAAAAGUGUUGGACGAUUGGCACCAAGGCACCAAAAAGAAAGAAGAAAACAAAAUUUGGGUGCCACAACGCCACAUUCAGGGCACCGACAACCUGAGCCUUCGCCACCCUCCCUACAAGAUUGUAGCACCGCCUACAGAUGGAACUAGGGCACACUUUCAACCCGUUUUUAAGUCCAAACGAAAACCCUACUUUCUACACAUGACAAGGCACCUAUAUAAACAAAUUUUCUACACUUUCCAAUGAGGAUGCACACAUUGAGAGGCUAGAGAAUACAAUUGGAGAAUCAAAGGAUGAAUUUAAGGAAGAAAACAACGAGAAAUUCACCAUGUAAAGCAUCGAUUAGAAGAGAAAGAAAUUUUUGGUACAAGAUCUACUUUUUCUUCAACAUCAAAAUUCGAUGAUGUAUUUUAAGACAAUUUAUUGUUUUUCUUCUUUCGUUAUGAAUAGCUAAAUCCAUUGUUAUAGCGAACAAUAUAAUCCAAUUGGGAUCUUUUAUAAUUUUUUUAGUAAUAUUCUUGGUUUUUAUUAUCGAUUUACAUAGAGAAAUGGAAUUUAAUUAGUUAAAUAGGAUCAAUGAGAACACAAGAAAGGUAAAUUGAAUGCAAUAGGAGAAUUCGAUCGAACACUACAUUUGGAAAGAGUUUUGAUUUAAAAUGCAGAGGUGAUCCAUAUGUGGAGUUAUCCUGCCUUAUCUUCGUUCAUAAUUUGAUUUUCAAACCAAUCGUGCGUGUAUUCACUUAUUUUCUCGCAUUUAGAUUAAAAUUCAAAUCCUAGAAAUCUUUAUUUGUUUUCAUCAAAUAGUGGUUAGGGAAAAAUUGAAUUAAAUGUUAGAGUAUAGUCCUCGUGAAAUCGACAAUCCAAACUCUUAGGUCCACUAUAUUACUUAUUACGUUCCGUACACUUGCGAAAAUAAAAUUGACAACAAUUUUAACGAAAUGCAUUAAAAUUUAGGCAUCCCCGUUUGAGAUUUUAAUAAAAUUUAAUGAAAUCUAUAAAAAUUUAGGUAUCCUCAAUAACUAGUGGAUUUAAAAAAAUUCAUUAUUUGAGGAAUUUUAAAAGAUUCGGAUGGAUUUCAAGCUUAAAAAUACGCAUUACCAAAUCUUUUGAAAUUUCACCAUAUUUGACGAGAUUCUUAUGGAAUUUGUAAGAAUAUAUUCAAAUCCACAAAAUGCAUUAGAAUUUAUAAUUUUUUAAAAUUCAUUAAAAUUUUAGUUGAGAACACCCCAUUGAAAUUUUGUUCGAAGAUUGAUUUGGAUUGGCACUUGUGUUGGAAGAAUCAUCUUGAGUCUUUGCUCUGAUACCAUACAUAAAAUGCUAGCAGAAUAAGAACAAUGCAAAUUCAAUCAAGAUGAAACAGAAAAUGAUGGAGGAAUUGUAUUUUAUUCUCAUUCCUUUCAUGUUUAGAUACAUGUACAAAUAGACUUGCCCAUAAAGCAUUUACAAAAGAAUAUUCUAAUCAUUCUUAUAUGACCGACAAAACUGAUUUUAGCAAGUUGUACAAAAGGCAUAAGGGAAACCAGAAAGGAUCCUUUCAUUCCUUUUCUUCCAGAUUCUUAUUAUCUGAAGUUCUUUUUGAAAAUCAUGGUCCAUGUUUACACGGUUGAAUAGAUGGAGGCCUUGUUUCCAAUUACCUUUCUAUUCUUCAACUUCACUAGACCCUUUGGUUUUGCACUCUAAUAAUGGCUAUGAACCUUGAAUUUCUUCAAUUCCUUCAAACCCUUCCUUAGAACUUGUUCUCCACAAGUUUUUUAUAAGUGUAAUUUCUACACUUGUCUAGGCCAUUGAAUAUGAAUAUUUGGGGUUACUUUUGGUGAAAUAUGGCUUAAUCUCUUAUACAUUUUGUUUGUUAAGUGAAAUUCAAUAUUUAAAAAAAAAAAAAAGGAAAGAAAACCUACGAAAAAUGAGGAUUUCCAAAGUUCAGUGACUAGAAGGUAGAUGAUGGAAAUUGUACGAGAAAAGGACUUAAUUUACAAAAUAAGCAAAAUUUGAUGGCCAAAAUACAUUUUCUCAAAAAUUACAGGUACGUACCACCCAUGAACAUUCGUGCAAAUGGUCAUGUGCUGUAGAAACUAAGGCCGAACUAUUUCUUAACCUAAUUUCAAUGGCUACAAUUACAGAACGUGGGCAAGACUUCAAGAUUACAUAAAAUUUUACAACCGAAGAGAGAAAUUCAUAAUUCUUCCGGGCAAAUCAAAAGGCAACAUAUAAGAAUUCAAUCGAUUAAAGAUCCAACUUUGUUUUUUUAGUAAAGAAGAAAAAGGCACAACUGGAGACAAUAAAAAAGCCAUUGAAUAGAUUCAAAAUUUAUCAUCUUUUUCAUUAAUUGGGUGAUGUCCUAUAAACCAAUCAUAAUUUCUUAUAAUUUUUUUAAUGUUAUGCUAGACUUUUAUUUACUAAGAUAUAGAUGGACCCUCGUUACGAAGUUUUAAUAUGAUUUCAAUAUUUUGACGUCCAAUAUAAAUUAUUUCUUGGAUGAUUGUUAUAGUGUUUAAUACUGUUCAAUUAUUUGAUCACUAAUUGGAUUGAUGUGUGAAUUUUGUUGUUAUUUGAGAGACAAUAGGAUAGAUAGCAUGUCGUAACAAUUAUUAUGAGGUCCGAUGGAAAAGAGAGAUAUAUGCAUAAGUCUGCAUAAUUUCAAUAUAUGUUCCAAUGUUUUAAUGUUUGCUUUCAUGUUCCCAUCUUCCAUAGAGAUAUAGGAAGAUAACAUGAAAUUAGUGAUAUAUUUAAAUCUACACUUGAGUGAUUAUUAAAUACCUAAGAAACCUUGAUCAACAAGAAUGCAUACAUAUUAUCAUGAUAGUGAAUUGUAUUAAAUUUGAUUAAUAAGUGAGAUUCAAAGUCUUAAUGAUCAUUCAACCUUCAUAUUUUACUCAUUAAAAUAAUUAGUUAAAUUAGCAUAGAAAUGAUAAUCAACAUUGGCUAAUCGAUUAGAGUUUAAAUUAAUUGAUCAUAAAUUAAAUACAUAGUUUCCGUAGGACGAUUAGAGUUUAAAUUAUCGAACACCAAUACUUUUUUUGACAUGUCACUGACACAUGUCAAAGUUCCUUGUAGCGCGUCGAAGAUGAAGAGAUGCAUAUCGUUGAAAGAAGAUAUGCAAACUGUGAAAAAUACGGUUACUAACUGUUUAGAAGAAGGCUAAGGAAGAAGGAAAAUGAAAAGAAUCUGUGAGAAGACGCGUCUGAUUGAAAAUGAAAAGUUGUGGAUGUAUAUCAAUGUACUUUGUUGGGCCAAUAAUAUUAAUGCAUUUCGUAAAAUUUCUUUUGUAGUAUAUUUAAUUAAUUUUUUUUCCAACUUUAUUUUUUAACACAGUAACAUGUAUAAUUUUAUGUGAAUUGAUUUUUUUAUUCACCGUCCAUUAAAAAAUCAAAAUUACUCAUAUACAUAUGAUUCAAUAAAUAUGAAAAUUAUUCCUUUAAAUUAUUAAAUUAAAAUAAGUUAGAAAAUAAUAUUUCAAUAACAUAUCGGUGGCUUAUCGUGUCAGAAGUUUUUCAAAAAAUUGCAUGUUAGCAUAUUCAACACAUAUCUCUUGUAUGUGGCGAUACUUCUUAGAUAUCAUACACUUGCAAGAUUUCGCACAAUCAUCUCUCUUAUCAAAAUCCGCAAAAUACCCAUUUUUUCUUCAAAAUUCAUCCCAGCCACGAAAAAAAAAAAUCUGUUACUGAUAUGCUCGCCAAGGCUAGCAGGCUUGCCUUAAGACGCCUGCCUGGGCGAGCUACUGCUGGACUCACCUGGGUGAGUUGUUGAGGUCCAUUUUGACUUUUGCUUCACCCUCGAUCUCUUCCGGCAUCAUGUUUCUUGAAGAAUCAGCACCGCCUUAUUUAGAAAGUUAUAGAGGCUCUUCCCACUUCUUGAAGCAAUCUAAUUAUCUGGAGAAUUAUGAUCUCCACCGCCACAGGAAGAGUAAUCUGGAACUUGUAUUUCUCAUCAUUUUAUGCUGGAAUCAUCUAGAAUUGUAAACCACCGAAGUACGCUACUAUAAAUAUGUUCCAGCACUUCGUUAUUGAAUCCCAUUUUUGAAUCCCACAGUUUCAAGAAAAUAAUAAAAAGAAAAACGAAACAGAAGUUAAUCUGCUCUCUCUUAUUGUGCUUAUUAAUUCAUAUUUUGCCAAAAGAUUGAAUGUAAAAGUUAAUCCAUUUAUAUUGGUUUGAACACGGAUUUUUACAAAGGAGGAUUGUUUGCUUUAUUAAGCCAUGAACUUCAUUUGAGUCGGAUCUUUAAUUAAAAAAGCCGAAAAUAUCUACUUUCUUACACAAGAAAGGAAGUGCGUAUUUGAG